CGCCCGCGUACUCACACGAAGGCGUGAUAGAGCAGCGCCCAGCCGCGGGGUCGCUCCAGGGCGUCGUAGAUCAAAGUUUGGAUGCGGCGUUUCUUGGCUGCAAGGAAGAUGGGAAGAGACAGCUUUUGCGUGCCCUGCAACCUUGGUGCCCUGGGAUUUCUGCCACAACGCACUAGAAGCAUCCCCUCUCCUCUUAGAGCUGCUCUUGAGUAAAAAUCUGCCUGCAGGGCUAAGCAUUCACGUAGCUACACCUUGGGAGGAUACAAAGGGUCUAACCGAGCCUUUCUUUCUUGACAGAUAAUAAUAAUAAAAUUUU